GUCUUUAUGCUAGUGGGAAGUCUAUUUUCAUGGAUCUUUAUGCUAGUGGGUAUCUCAAAGGAGGUGGUGGUUACCGAAUCCUUUAGACUACAUGAGGUUGAGAAGGCCUGAGCUCUACCUAGCCUUUUCUGAGUUCUCCGGCAAUUAUUGGUUCUUUGCUUAACAAAUUGGCAGUUGCUUGUUCUGCCUAACUUGUUGUUUCUAUGGGGAAAUUGAUUUGCUUGGAAAAGUUGUGCUUGGUUUAGUUUGACAGUUUAGAGUCUGCUUGUCUUUGGAUGUGGAUGAGCUUGUGUGAUGUAGGCUAUAUGGGUUUGAACUUUCUAUCUCUAGUCUUGGGUAUGAAGCAGUAAAUAGGUGUUCUAUGUAUUUGGGCAUGGACCUUGUAAUUUGUUUUCAUCAAUGAAAUAUCUUCAUUUUCCAUUAAAA
rnacentral:misc_RNA from 1 species